UGUCAUUUUAGACACUUCUAGAUUCAGUUGUCCAAUAGACAUUUGUUAAGUGCCUUCUGUGAAUUGUGCUUAGCCCUGGAGAUCCUGGCUAUUGAGACUGUAAAUGAAAAAUAUAUUUCACGGAGAGGUCCAAAAACAUUGUGGGAACACAGUGGAGAGGAAUAAACUCUGCCUUGGGAAGUAGGGGAAAGCUGCAUAGAGCAGGUGACAUUUGAGCUGAAUCUUGAUGGAUGGGUGGAAGCCCGCUCAUUGGAGAGAGAGGAAAUAACAUGUUCAAGUGUCCAGAGCUGUGAAAAAUUCAUGGUAUGUUGUGUGAUAGAGAGAAGUUUAAUGAAAUGACUCAGUGGGAGAAAUAUGAUUGGUGAGGUGCUCUUUUUCCUGUUGUUGGUUUUUUUUUUUUUUCCCUCCUGACCUAGACUGAAAAGAAAAAAUUCCAGAGAACUAAAGCACUCUACAUCACAGAUUAGCAAAACACUGGCCCCAGUAAGCAUCCCCCAUGCCUGUCUUGGGUACUGGAAAGAACCAUAUAUGCUGUACCAAGGAACUUCCACUUACAGGCAAAGGAGAUGGGAAACGUUAAGCAGGUGAAUUAAAUGAUCCUCUCUCUUUAACAAGGCAGUGGCUGGGCGGGGACGGGCUGUAUGGAUUUGAGGGAAAUGGAAGAGGCAGAGUCAACAGUAUUUACUGUUUCAUUGGCUGAUGAAAGAGAGAAAGGGAGGCAUUGAGUUUGGGCACCUGGUACUAUGGUGAUGUCAUUUUCAGACAAAAAAGGGGGAGCUUUUUGGAGAAGAGGGCAGUGAAAGAAAUAAGUUCAUCCCUGGGCAACUGACACCUGAAGAACCUGAAGUACAUCUAGAUGGAAAACCAGGAGCACCCGGUAGCACAUUUCAGAGGAAGCUCUGAGGGCAGGAGGUGGACCAUUCUCCUGACUGCCAUCAGGAAGUGGACCACGGGAACACGGAUGUCACUUUCCCAAGGGACAGCUUGAACUAUGGAGAAGCUAUUAAUAAAAUUUCAAGAGGUCAGCCCAGCACAUAUUGAAUAAUGACUGCGGAAUGUUUUCCCUAUUGUUGUGCGGUUCCGGCCUGGCAGCCCUGGCCAGGGUGGCUCGGCCCAGCCUGCCCGGUGCGGUGUGGGGCCUUUAACCACGGGGCAAGCCAUUAACCGGGGCCGGUGAAGGAGCAGCACAUUGUUGUGUUAAACCACAACAGCAUCUGUGGAAUCCAAGAGCCAUAAAACCCUAGCUCUGAUGCUGCCUGACACAGGCAUAAUUCAUGAACUCUGUAAUUUAAAGGGAUUUCAAUGCAAUUGUAAAACUAAUAAAAAAUGAAAUGCUUUGGGGAAA